AAACCGGCCCUUUUAAGGGCCAUAUAAUAUUGAUACGUAGUAAAGU
rfam:Oikopleura dioica, whole genome shotgun assembly, reference scaffold set, scaffold scaffold_1